AGAGUUUGAUCCUGGCUCAGGACGAACGCUGGCGGCGUGCCUAACACAUGCAAGUCGAGCGGAGAUAGAUUGAUGGUAACUGAUAUCUAUCUUAGCGGCGGACGGGUGAGUAACACGUGGGCAACCUGCCUCGAAGUGGGGGAUAACACCGAGAAAUCGGUGCUAAUACCGCAUAACAUACAGACACCACCUGGUGACUGUAUCAAAGGAGAAAUCCGCUUUGAGAUGGGCCCGCGGCUGAUUAGCUAGUUGGUGAGGUAAUGGCUCACCAAGGCGACGAUCAGUAGCCGACCUGAGAGGGUGACCGGCCACACUGGAACUGAGACACGGUCCAGACUCCUACGGGAGGCAGCAGUGGGGAAUAUUGCGCAAUGGGGGAAACCCUGACGCAGCAACGCCGCGUGGAGGAAGAAGGUCUUCGGAUUGUAAACUCUGUCCUUGGUGAAGAAAAAAAUGACGGUAGCCAAGGAGGAAGCCCCGGCUAACUACGUGCCAGCAGCCGCGGUAAUACGUAGGGGGCGAGCGUUGUCCGGAUUUACUGGGCGUAAAGGGCGUGUAGGCUGUUGGAUAAGUCUGGUGUGAAAUGCUACGGCUCAACCGUGGCACUGCCUUUGGAACUGGUCAGCUCGAGUGCAGGAGAGGUAAGUGGAAUUCCUAGUGUAGCGGUGAAAUGCGUAGAUAUUAGGAGGAACACCAGUGGCGAAGGCGACUUACUGGACUGUAACUGACGCUGAGUCACGAAAGCGUGGGUAGCAAACAGGAUUAGAUACCCUGGUAGUCCACGCUGUAAACGAUGAGUGCUAGGUGUUGGGUAGCGACCCCUUCCGUGCCGCAGUAAACGCAAUAAGUAUCCCGCCUGGGGAGUACGGCCGCAAGGUUGAAACUCAAAGGAAUUGACGGGGGCCCGCACAAGCAGCGGAGCAUGUGGUUUAAUUCGAAGCAACGCGAAGAACCUUACCAGAACUUGACAUCGUCUUGGUCUGCAUUACUCUUAAUCGAGGAAGCCCUUCGGGGCAGAUAGACAGGUGGUGCAUGGUUGUCGUCAGCUCGUGUCGUGAGAUGUUGGGUUAAGUCCCGCAACGAGCGCAACCCUUGCCUUUAGUUGCCAGCACUUCAGUUGGGGACUCUAGAGAGACUGCCGGUGACAAACCGGAGGAAGGUGGGGAUGACGUCAAAUCAUCAUGCCCCUUAUGACUUGGGCUACACACGUACUACAAUGGCGUAUACAGAGAGACGCGAAGUGGCGACAUGGAGCAAAUCUUUUAAAGCCGGUCCCAGUUCGGAUUGCAGGCUGAAACUCGCCUGCAUGAAGUUGGAGUUGCUAGUAAUCGCGGAUCAGCAUGCCGUGGUGGAAUGCGUUCCCGGGUCUUGUACACACCGCCCGUCACACCAUGGAAGUUGGGGGGACCCGAAGCCAGUGAUCCAACCGUAAGGAGGAAGCUGUCGAAGGUAAAACCAAUGACUGGGGUGAAGUCGUAACAAGGUAACC
rnacentral:rRNA from 1 species